AGAUGAUUAUUCAAAAAUAAAUAUAAUAAAUUAUUAUUUUAAUAUUUUCUUUAGUAUUAUAAUAUUAUUUAUAUUAUUCUAAUUUCUAAUAAAAUGGUUUUUAUGUAUUAUAUAGUGACGGCUGUUGUAUCUAAGAACCCCAAAUCAUCCCGUGGCACAAUUAGAUAUGUAUCUGCAGGCAUUGGUUGAGUAUUAAAAAAACAAAUGCUGUGGCAAAUUAUAAAAUUAAAAAAAAGCAAGAUUGAUUCAUAUCUAUUCAUGGUAAAAAGAGGAGUACGCAAUUAUUAGAAGAUAUAAGUAUAUAAAAGUAAACAAAAGAUAUUAUGCUUAAUGUGGUGUCAAUCAACAGAAGAAAAACUUGACAUAUUUACUUAAAUACAAAGGCUGAUUCAUGAAAUUAAAAAAUAUCAGCCACUACUGCGAGUCAUGGCCCAUAGACAACUUUAUGGAAAAUAUAACAGACAAAUUGAAAAGUACUACCUAAUAAAAUAUUCGAAAAAAUUAAAUUCAUUGUUUUUUUACUAUUGGUUUGGUAUAUAUUUUUUUUAACUGAGAGUUAGUAGAAAAAGUCUAGGAAAAGUAAAUUUAUACAAAUGUAAAUAUCUAUAUAUAAAUAAUAUAUUUUAAAAUAUUUUAUUUAUCUUAUUAUAUGUAUAAUUAUUAGAAAAAUGAAAAAUACACUAACUUAUUUUACAAUUGUCAACUCUACUUAUUUAUUUUUAUAACUACUAAUACAUGUGUCUAAAUAUGUUUAUACUUAUAUAGAUGUAUAAAAAAAUAUGUGGAGUACCCAAACAUUAUAUUUUUUAGUUGUCAAUACCUACCAUUUAUUUAUUUAUUGUUUAAAUACCUAUAAAUAUCAAAUUGUUAAUGUUAUCUAUGGAGCGUGGCAUGUGUAAAUAUUGUUUGGGGAGAUGCCCUCUUAAAUAAAAAUAAAAUCAUUUUCAACCAUCAUCAAAUUAAAUUAUCAUAAAUCAUAAUAUACAACAUUUACGAAAAAGCUUUCAUCAAUAUUAAAGAUUAAACCAGGAAUGGAAAACGUUUUUCAUUUUUGUUUAUUGAUUUAAAAAUAUCGAUUUUGUUUAAUUUUUUUUAAAAACAUUAUUUUUUCUAUUGUUUUCAAAUAACGUUUUUAAAAACGUUAUUUUUCUAUAUUGUUUCCAAAAAACUUUUUUGAUAAUUUUGUUAUUGGUUUUUGUUUAUAUUUAUUCUUAUAACAUAUAACUUAUAAUAGUAAUAAGCAAUGCAGGAAUGCACUUAAAAAUUAAAAUUUAUUAUUAAUAUCUAAAUUUUAAAUCAAAAUUUUGAUUACAAUUUUUUUAUUACAACAAAAUAACUUAAACUAUAAUUUUUUGUUUAAAUAUCUAACUUUGUUGACAUUUGAACUGUAUUAAAUGUAAAACCUUUAGUUUUUAAAAAUUAAAAAUUGAAUGCAUUUAUAAUUAAAAAAUUUGAAACAUUUGAAAUAAAAAAAAAAAAUGACUGUAUUUUUAAAUUAAUAUAAGAACAACAUAGGUAUGUGAGAUCACUGAUCUUUAUUACAUUUUCAAGCUUUUUGACUAAACCUAAAAUGUUUUAUCAAUAUUUUAAA